CACCUCUCCGGGUCGCACCUGGAGAGGUUCCAGUACUCUACCAGUCUCUACUAUGGGAGGGAGAGUCAAGCAGAGGCGUAUCCAUUCCAUCCUAGCUUGGGCAGUGGCUAGUGAGUGGAAGGCCAUCGGCUACAAGU
rnacentral:snoRNA from 1 species